CUCAGGAACAGAAAAAUCCUUUCUUCCAGCUCACCCCCACCCAAGCCCGGAGCUUCAACAAUUAACAUUUUUCCUGUAGCCUCUGAUGGCUUCUUGGGCUCUAUCUGUCCAGAUUUCAGCUUCCUCUGCAACCAUGUCUGACAAGCCCGAUAUGGCUGAGAUUGAGAAAUUCGAUAAGUCGANNNNNNNNNNNNNNNNNNNNNNNNNNNNNNNNNNNNNNNNNNGGGCGAGGGAGGGCGGGGGAGGAGCUGACAAUUUUUAUGAUGAAUGUGGCCUGGAAAGGUUAAUUAAAAGUUGUUUUUGCAGCUAACAAACAGGGCUUUAAUAAUUCAACGAUGAUGGGAUGUUUGGUAUACAUAUUAAUAUGCAAUAUUAUACCAUCUUUUCUGUUAAAAUGUUUUUUAGUGUUCAUAUUUUCACGAUGGGCCGACUUGAUACUUAGUGGAUUUCUAUGAUAUGGGAAGAUACCGUAAACGAAAAGUACGAUAAUCUUACACGAGGCUGUACUGAGUCUGCCUAAUGAGCUCCCUCCAUCUUUUUUCUUUUCUCUUUCCUGUCACAGCGAUUGAACAGGAGAAGCAAGCAGGCGAAUCGUAAUGAGGCGUGCGCCGCCAAUAUGCACUGUACAUUCCACAAGCAUUGCCUUCUUAUUUUACUUCUUUUAGCUGUUUAACUUCGUAAGAUGCAAAGAGGUUGGAUCAAGUUUAAAUGACUGUGCUGCCCCUUUUCACAUCAAAGAAUGGAGAACUACUGACAACGAAGGCGCCUGCCUCUCCCAUCUGUCUGUCUGGCUGGCAGGGAAGGAAAAGAACUUGCAUGUUGGUGAAGGAAGAAGCUGGGUGGGACGACAGUGAAAUCUAGAGUAAAAACCAAGCUGGUCCAAGGUGUCCUGCAGGCUGUAAAAUGCAGUUUAAUCAGAGUGCCAUUUUUUUGUUCAAAUGAUUUUAAUUAUUGGAAUGCACAAUUUUUUUAAUAUGCAAUAAAAAGUUUUAAAACGUCGCUGGUGUGACUGUU
rnacentral:lncRNA from 1 species